ensembl:lncRNA
CCCAGUGCGGGGCGGGGUCAGGGACUGCUGGGGGGGGGGAAGGGGGGGCGGGGAAGGAACUGGUCCAGACUGGUUUGGACUGGUCUGUACUGGUUUAUAGUGGUCCAUACUGGUCUGUACUGGUUCAUACUGGUUUAUACUGGUCCAUACUGGUCUGUACUAGUUUAUACUGGUUCAUACUGGUCCAUACUAGUACACACUGGUCUACACUGGUUCGUACUGGUCUGUACUGGUCUAUACUGGUUCAUACUGGUCCAUACUGGUCUGUACUGGUCUAUACUGGUUCAUACUGGUCUGUACUGGUCUAUAUUGCCUCAUACCACCUCGUACUGCCCCAUACCAGUCCAUACUGGUCUGUGCUGGUCCACACUGGUCCGUACUGGUCUACAUUGCCCCAUACAACCUCAUACUGGUCUGUACUGGUCCGUACUGGUCUAUAUUGCCCCACACUGCCCCAUACUGGUCUAUACUGGUCCACACUGGUCCGUACUAGUUUAUACUGGUCCAUACCACCCCAUACUGCCCCACACCAGUCCAUACUGGUCUGUACUAGUUUUUACUGGUCCAUACCACCCCAUACCGCCCCACACCAGUCCAUACUGGUCCGUACUAGUUUAUACUGGUCCAUACCACCCCCUACUGGUCCAUACUGGUCUGUACUGGUCUAUAUUGCCCCAUACCAACCCAUACUGGUCUGUACUGGUCUAUAUUGCCCCAUAUCAACCCAUACUGGUCCGUGCUGGUCCGUACUGGUCUAUAUUGCCCCACACCGCCCCACACCAGUCCAUACUGGUCCACACCAGUCCAUACUGGUCCGUGCUGGUCCAUACUGGUCUAUAUUGCCCCACACCAGUCCAUACUGGUCCGUACUGGUCUAUAUUGCCCCACACCAGUCCAUACUGGUCCAUACUGGUCUGUACUGGUCUAUAUUGCCCCACACCAGUCCAUACUGGUCCAUACUGGUCUGUACUGGUCUAUAUUGCCCCACACCAGUCCAUACUGGUCCAUACUGGUCUGUACUGGUCUAUAUUGCCCCACACCAGUCCAUACUGGUCCAUACUGGUCUGUACUGGUCUAUAUUGCCCCACACCAGUCCAUACUGGUCCAUACUGGUCUGUACUGGUCUAUAUUGCCCCACACCAGUCCAUACUGGUCCAUACUGGUCUGUACUGGUCUCACCUGUCCCUGCAGGAUCCGCAGCAGCGCCUGGCGCCCCCUGGUGGCGGCGCUGAGGAGCCGCAGCCGCCGCUGCCGCUGGAGCUGCAGGGGAGGGGUGGGGUUGGGACCCCCCCAAAAACACUCCCAAGACCCCCAAAAUAUCAUCUGAGACCCCCCCAAA